rnacentral:piRNA from 1 species
UCAUCUACACAGCUUGAGAAUGCUAAGC